AUCUUAUUUCGUUGUACCACUGCCCUUCUUUUUUUAACAGCAGUAAACAUUGUAUACUUCUGCACAGACACUAGAUGUGUUUUAACAUACAGGUAUAUAUCAAUCCCAUUCAGUCAGGUGAGCCUGAUCAUUUCUAAAGAAAGGGGAGGGUGCCCACAAUGACAUGAUUGCAAGCUCUUCAGUCCAGACAUAUCUAGAGAUGUGGGUAAAAGAGAGGAAUGCUUUCAGUUCAU